CUUCAGUCCCAUAUCAAGUCCCCGAGGGUGAGGCGAGCCUCCUUUAGUCAGGUUCAGGGCUGGCCGCAGAGCCUUCAGUGGUCCUCCCUGCCUCAGGGAUGGGGGCCAUGAGCUCUCAGAGGCUGCUUUGAGGGCUCCCCCCACUUGCAAGCCAGGGCUGAUGCCCGCCCACUCUUAGGCCUCCUGCCCGAGAAUAGUCCUGGUGGAGCCUUUUCUCGCCCCUCUUUAUGGCUCAGGAAGGUGCAGGGGGUCUCACUUCCAAUGAUGGUGUGACCCCUGUGAGCCCUCGGUGCCCCUUGGUGUUCUCCCAGUGUCUGGGUGUGGGCAGGAGAGUCGGGAGCCUUUGCUGGGAGGUGCAGUGAAGUGUGUGUGUUUGGUACAUCUCUCUUUCCUGCAGACGGGCUCAGCCUCUGGCCGUGUCCUUGGAGGACUCUGCAGCUUCCUCCCACGGCUGUGGUUCCCUAGGCCUCCUUGGUGGCUGUGUCUGCUGAGAGGGCUCUUUGAACACAGCCAUUAGGGAAGAGGGUGGCAGUUGGGUGCUCCUGCAGCAGCAUAUGCCAGCAUCCCAGCCCCCUGGGUGGGUGCGGGCCACCUCGCCUACCAGGAGCACACUGCUCGACUGCAGACCAGAUUCCCAAGCUCCCACACACUGCCACUCUCACCAGCGCUGGGCUGCCCCUCCCUGCAGAGUGCGGCAGGAGGGCCCUGGGCUGGGAGUCGGCAGGCCUGGGUUCUGGCCUAGAACAACGCCACUUGUUGACUGGGUGCCCUUGGGCAAGUCACUUCACCUCUCUGGACUUAAGAUCGUCAUUUAUAAAAUGGAGAUAAUGAUGGCUGUCCUGCCUGCCCCUCCAAGAGGUUCUAGAGAGACUGUACGUGCAGGUCUUUGCUGGGAAUAAAGGGCUAGAAGUAGGUUGCAUUCCUACUUCCGGUUCCUGCUGAGUUAUUGGGCUAUCAGACCCUCUCACUGGUCACUUCUGCGGGCGUCCAAGUGGUUGCCAAGCAGAGGGGGUAGGGGAGACACAGAUGAAAGAACUCCUUGAUCUUGGGGGUUUCUGCCCCCCCCCCCCCAUUGGAGAAGCAGAACACACAUUCCUGAGGGCAGAGAAAUGCACAAAUAUAGACUGUAAAGAAACCCACAAGCGUGGUUUUAAAUAUCCAUCUAUAAACACACAAAAAUUUCCCAACUAACACAGCUGGAAGUUCAAGUGCUCCAGGAUUCUGGGUUCCUCAGACUGAGGGGAAGGUAGUCUAGGAAGGCUUUCUGGAGGAGAAACAGGUUUUUUUUUUUUUUUAAGGAAAGGAGUACAGAGAAAAGGGUAGUGUGUGGUGGUGGUGAUGGAGCUCCAGGCCAGGACAACCAAAUUUAUAGUCAUUUUUUUCCUUAUUUUUUAAUGAGUAAACACUCUUUCUAAAAUACAUUCUAAAGCCCACUUUCUUUCUUUCUUUUUUUUUUGCUGAGGAAGAUUGGCCCUGAGCUAACAUCUGUUGCCAGUCUUCCUCUAUUUUGUACAUGGGACGCCACUACAGCAUGGUGGAAUGACUAGGCUCCUAGGGAUGCAGUUUGAAAAAACUGACUUUAAAGUCUUUUUCAUGAGAGGCUAGUUGAGUGAGAGUAACUGACAUUGGCCAGGUGUGGCACUAUUAUUGCACAAUAAAUACUGAAUAUUGAGUGAAUGACUCAAUCCAUGAAUGGACGGAUUGUGGGCCGGACAGGCAGAAGAGUAGAUAGACAGAUGGGUGAAGACCUGCAUUGAUGGAUGGAUAUUACCCUGGGUGGAAGAAGGCCAGGAUUUGGAAGAGUCCAGCUGGCAGGGAGGGUGGGCAGCAGAGGGCUUUUGCAUUUCACACAGGCCAAGUCAGCUGGGUGUGAAUCGAGGUGGGGGCGUCUGAGGAAGGCCCCUCGGCUCUUGCCCAGGCGAGGCUUGGGGAAGUGCUGCUCUCACGUUUCCACCUGCAGGGAAGGUGCUGGGGGCCAUCGCUCAUCCUGACACAUCCCUGAGGUCAGGAUAAAGGGCUGCCUCCAAGGGCAUUGGCUUCCUGAACUUAUGGAUGCACAGGCACGUGUGCUGAGCAAGUUCCCGUUGGUGUCCACAGCUGCACAGAAGCUGCACAGAAGCCCUGGGGGAAAAACUUGUGGAGAACACUGGAGGGCGCCAUGUCUUCUUGCUGAUCUUAAAGGGACAAGUGCUUCACCUGGGAGAGCCCUGUCUUUCUGACUCCAGAUAGACAUCCCUGGCAGUGGUGGUGCAGCAAGAACUGGAGUUCUCAAGCAUCUCCAAAAAAACUGGUCCUGGAGUUGCCAUUGGAAGACAUCCCUAGCCCUGCUUCAGCUGUUCCCUUGUUUCGUGUCCUUGGAUUAAGUCACUCACCCCUGAAGAUCUGUCUCGUCUUCUGUAAACCGGAAGCUGAUGAUAAUGAUCCCAAUGACCUCACAGGAGGCUGAAAUGACAGUCUGAAUGUGCAAGAGCAUUGCAUACGAUGAAAUGUACAAAUGGAAGGCAUCUCCCUCUCUUUAUCACUGUCAUCAUCUUCAUUGUCCUUAUCAUCGUCGUCCUCAUCAGCAGGGAAGAGUGAAGCUUCUUGCAGCAGACAUGCUUUAUUGGUAUUCUCGGAAAUGUCUGUCUGAAGUAGGCCACACAUGAGCUGCAUGGAGGAAAUGGAUUUAAUUCAUAAUCAGCUUCAUUAGGGGUCCACUUCAGAGGGACAUUCAUAGGAGCCUUAAGCUGUACAUCCGCUGGGCUCUCCUCUGUGAUGGCUCGGGCCUGCCCAGCUAUACUUAGCUGGCGAUGUGAAACGGGUAGAGGCAGGAACUGCAAAGGAAGCAGCAGCUAAUGAAAAAUUCAAGAUAAUUGUUUGUUAAAAAUCCCUGUCUGCUUCGGAUGGGAUUCUCUGGGCUGGGGCGGGGGAUGUGGGGUGGCCUGUGGCUACCAUCAGUUCGUUGGACGCUUGUUUCCUGGAGGACCUUGGACCAAGGUCUGGAGAGGAUGGGGAGCUUCCUGGGCAGGCAGCCAAGGGCUAUGUCUCUGGCAUCUGCAUUUGGGGGAGGAGGAGCUUCCAUGAAGCUCUGGCUUUAUUGUAUUAAAGCACAGCUAUGUCUGUGUGGCAGGCACAUGCUUCAUGUGUGUCUUGAGAGGUGUGCAGAAGAAGGGGGAAGACAGAAAAUUAUCCUGUCUAUGUGUCUAGAGUAGUCAAGACCCAGUCCGGAUUGGUCUUUGAUUGGAGAAACACCUCCCUUCUCUCUGGUAUGGAGCGGGCACACUAUGUGGGUGGUGGGCUCAGCCUGAGAUGGGAGGAGAGGUGUGUCUGCUCUAAGACAGGGGAAAUCAGAAAUGUGUUUGGUAGUGAAGUAACUAGUGAUGAGUUAAGUCAAGGAUCCUGCUGGCAGGGCAGUCCCUACUGAGGCCCCCUGACUGGGAUAAUGUGCUCACUGAGUGAGAGUUAUGUGACAGGCCUGGCCAAUAUCAGAGGGGGACGCCAGGAUGUGGGGGAGGGCAGCCAGUUGUGUGAUUCUGGGAGUGGUCCCAGAGGCAGGGAUGAAGAGCAGAGAAAUUAGAUCAGACUACUUGAUAAACCGAUUGAGGUUGCAAGAAGUGGCCAUUAGGAUGGGCUUGAAGGUGGAAAGCAGAAAAGACAGAGGAGGGUAGGGGCUUGUCUGUAAGUGGGCCUGGAAGAGGAGAUGGCACCAUGGAAUUUGGGGUCUGGAGGUGACACAGAGAGUGGCACUUGAGGUACAGCGAGGAAGGGCUGUGCAUCCCAAGGUCAAGGCUAAAGGAGAAAGCUAGUCUCCUCAAUGGUGUUUCCCAGAGUUAUAGCUUGUUAUGGGGCAUAAUUGUGAGUGAAAUCCUGUCAGGCUGGUUUUCAUUAUAAUUUGUUUGGCUGACACCAACCUCUCUUGUCGAGUGUAAUCUGCACCCCGAGAUUUCCUCACCGUGGAGAAACAGAUUUUGCAGCGUGACAUAGUAGAAAUGGCAUGAGGCCUGUGGUCAUACAGACUUGGGUUCAAAUCCUGGCUCAUGCCUUUUGGGAAGCCUUGGCUGAACCCCUUGCCUAGGUUACACGUAUUUCCAUGGCACCAACACUUAACUUAUCUCCAUUUCUGAACUCCACACAGCACAAUGUAGCAAAAUUACUUUUGAGUCAAACUAUCUAGCUGGUUUUCAUUAUGGGUCUCUUUGCCUGACACUGGCCUCUCUGUAGAGUGUAUUCUGUGCCCUAAGAGUUCCUCAUUGUUGGCAGUCCCUACCUUUGGACCAAGAACUUCUCAAGGCUGGGAACCAAGUCUGUUUUUUCUCUGGAUCCCAAAUACCUGUGCUCGUGUCCAGAGCACCUGAUUAACACACGUUUGUGGAACUGAACUGAUCUUUGGUGAUGUCACCUUCGGACCCCAGUUUUCUCAUUAGCAAAAUGUGGACAAGCAGUAGUGCCCCCUUGGGAUUGUGGGGUGGCUUGAAGGAAAUACGUACCGUAAAUGAAAUGCCCUGCGUGAUAUCUGGCACAUAAGUAGGUGCUCACACAGCCUGGUGAAUGAACGACUUUCUGGGUCUGAAAGCUUUUUAGUAGUGUUGAGGAGAAAUUCUCCUCCUUUGGUUGAGAGUAAUGGAAGUGACCAGGGAUUCUGGGAGACCCUCUUUUUUGGGUUGCCUGAGUUCACUUUGUAAAGUUUCUUCUCUGGAAAUGUCUGCAAAGAACAUGGGGCUGUCCUUCCUGUAGGAGGGUUCCAGGGGCAGGGAGACCUGGUCAGAGGCAGAGAAUGGCUCCCAGAGGGGAAGGGAGGCGGCGGAGAAGGGUGGGAAGAGGUGGAGGUGGAGGUGGGACACUUCUGUGCGAGAGUCUAGAGGUCCCUCUUGCCAGCAGGGGGCUUGGCUUCUGCAUGCACUCUGAAGAUUGAACAAGCCUAUGUUCGUGCACCAUGAAGGCUGGGGGUGGACUUAGAAGAAAUUUCCUGAAGCUUCUAAAGUUGGUUGUCUCCUUUCUGUCUCAGAAGGUUAUUCCUAAAAUUUCUGCUAUUGUGGUUCAGGAGAAAACACAGCCAUGAUGACCUCUCCGUUGUUUUAUUUUAUUGCUUUCUAGCAUACAAGUCAUGGAGGCAUAUAGUUUUGCAAAAGAUUCAAACAAUAAACACAUUAGCAAAUAAAGUAAAUGGUGAAUGUCGUCUUGGUUCCCAGGCUACCUCUUUCAUUCCCACUUCCUUCCAGAGGAACACCAAAGUUGACAGGUAGACGUGUAUUCUUGCAGAAUUUUGCCCAUGCAUUAUGUGUGCAUGUACACAAAUGAAAACAGAUAUAAAGCUUUUAAGUGUAAAUGGAAACAUACUAUUUGCAUUGUUCUGCAACAUAUUUUUCCAUGACAUAUAUUUGGAGAUCUUUGCAUGUUUGUACAUAUGGAUUGACCUUAAUUAAAAAAAUAAUGACUUCAUAGUAUUCCAUAGCCAUAAUAUUAUAACUAUGAUUAAUUAAUUCACAUUAUAAAAUUAGGAUUAAAUUAAUAUUAUCACUAUGAUUAUAAUCUAAUAUUAUAACUAGAUUAUAAUUUUUAAUCAUUUUUAAUGGAUAUUGAUGGGUAUUCUGAUUAUAUAUGAAGUGGAACAUUAAAAAUUAUUAACCAUUUAGGGGCCAGCCCAGUGGCCAAGUGGUUAAGCUCGCGCUCUCCGCUUCAGCGGCCCAGGGUUUCGCCGGUUCGGAUCCUGGACAUGGACAUGGCACCGCUCAACGGGCUAUGUUGAGGUGGCGUCUCACGUGCCACAACUAGAAGAAGGACCCACAACUAAGAAUGCACAACUAUGUACCAGCGGGCUUUGGGGAGAAAAAGGAAAAAUAAAAUCUUAAAAAAAAAAAUUAUUAACCAUUUAAAUUUCUUUUUUUACUGAAUUGCUUAUUCAUAAUUUUUGCCCAUUUUUAUUUAUAUUGGAUGUUUGGUCUUUUAUAAUUGAUUUUAGUUUAUCACCUAAAGUGUAGACAUUAAUCCUUUGUGUAUUUUAUAUAUAUUGCAAAUGUUUUGUCUCAUCCUCUCAUUUGUCUUCUCUGUUUAUGCCUUUUGUUGCAUAAAAGUUUUGAUUUGUAAGUAGUCAAAUCUGUCAACUACUUUCUUUAUGGCUUUCGGGUAUUAUGUUUUGCUUAGGAAGGCCAAUCUCAGACUGAGAUUAAGAUCGUCCCUGAGCUAACAUCUGUGCCAGUCUUCCUCUGUUUCAUCUGUGGGAUGCCACCAUAGCAUGGCUUGAUGAGCGGAGUGUGGGUCCGCGCUGGGAUCUGAAUCUGCAAACCCUGGGCCGCCAAAGCGGAGCAUGUGAACUUAACCACUACGCCACGGGGCUGGACCCCUUCAGGUGACUUGUUAAAGCUGUUUUUCACUUUUGGCAUUUUGACACACCUGGAAUUAGUUUUGGUUGGGGGAGUGGCUACUAUGGUUUGUUGUUGGAGCACGUCUCUGAUGUAGAUGGACAAAGCCAAAUACUGCCGGAUAAUUCCAAACAGCAAAGAAAUGUUUAGCUUUGAAAUCAUGUGAUUAUAUAUUUUUAUGUUUUAGAGGGCUAGUUUUUUAAAAAAUUCAAAAUGUUUGUAAUAAUAAAUUUAAACAAUGCAGAAAUACCUAAUGUAAAAAAUGAAGGGCGCUCAAGCUUCCCCGUCCAAUCCUGCUUUGAGUGAACUGAAUCUUUUAUGACAAACACGUCUUAUGGGCAUAUAUUUGUUGGCUAUUUGUAUUUAUUCUUCUAUGAAUUACCUCUUUGUGUCCUUUAUCCAUUUUUUUCCUUUGGGUUAUCUCUUCCUUAUUGAUUGUAGGCAAUCUUUGUAUAUUAAGACAUUAAUUCUGAUUAUUAUAUAUGUUCCAGAUAUUUUGGAAAUUCUAGUCCAUAAUGAU
rnacentral:lncRNA from 1 species